CCCGAAUAAGAAGGUCCGGCUAACUUCGUGCCAGCAGCCGCGGUAAUACGAAGGGACCUAGCGUAGUUCGGAAUUACUGGGCUUAAAGAGUUCGUAGGUGGUUGAAAAAGUUAGUGGUGAAAUCCCAGAGCUUAACUCUGGAACUGCCAUUAAAACUUUUCAGCUAGAGUAUGAUAGAGGAAAGCAGAAUUUCUAGUGUAGAGGUGAAAUUCGUAGAUAUUAGAAAGAAUACCAAUUGCGAAGGCAGCUUUCUGGAUCAUUACUGACACUGAGGAACGAAAGCAUGGGUAGCGAAGAGGAUUAGAUACCCUCGUAGUCCAUGCCGUAAACGAUGUGUGUUAGACGUUGGAAAUUUAUUUUCAGUGUCGCAGGGAAACCGAUAAACACACCGCCUGGGGAGUACGACCGCAAGGUUAAAACUCAAAUGAAUUGACGGGGACCCGCACAAGUAGUGGAGCAUGUGGUUUAAUUCGAAGAUACGCGCAGAACCUUACCAACACUUGACAUGUUCGUCGCGACUCUAAGAGAUUAGAGUUUUCGGUUCGGCCGGACGAAACACAGGUGCUGCAUGGCUGUCGUCAGCUCGUGUCGUGAGAUGUUGGGUUAAGUCCCGCAACGAGCGCAACCCUCACUUUUAGUUGCCAUCAUUAGGUUGGGCACUCUGAAAGAACUGCCAGUGAUAAGCUGGAGGAAGGUGGGGAUGACGUCAAGUCCUCAUGGCCCUUACGUGUUGGGCUACACACGUGCUACAAUGGUAUCUACAACAGGAAGCAAGACUGCGAAGUUAAGCAAAUCCCUAAAAGAUACCUCAGUUCGGAUUGCACUCUGCAACUCGAGUGCAUGAAGCUGGAAUACUAGU
rnacentral:rRNA from 1 species